rnacentral:rRNA from 1 species
UACGUGAGGGGCGAACGUUGUUCGGUGUCACUGGGCUUAAAGGGUGCGUAGGUGGUUGCGUAAGUAACGUGUGAAAGCCCUCGGCUUACCCGGGGAAUUGCGCGUUAUACUGCGUGACUUGAGGAUUUCAGGGGAAAGGGGAACUCCAGGUGUAGCGGUGAAAUGCGUAGAUAUCGAGAGGAACACCUGCGGCGAAGGCGGGUUGCUGGGCUGACACUGACGCUGAGGCGCGAAAGCUAGGGGAGCGAACGGG